UAUAUUUGGCCCUGACUUUACCCUUUUCUCGAUCCAAAAUCUUCAUACAUUUCGAUCAGAAAUUCUUCUGAUCUCUAUCUCUGUUCCCCAAUUAGAUCCUUUCUUCUUUCGAUUCGCUUUCUCCUCUUUCUCCUCUAUCUAUUGAUCCUAAAGGCCUCGGAUUUGUUUCUAGGGUUAGGGUUUUCAGGUCCUCGAUAUUUUUGCUAUUUAGAAUUGGGAUUUUUGUUCGAUCUCUAAAUCUAGGUCUGUAUAUUUUUUUUGUGGGGUCGAUUCAUCUGGGUCAGUCGAAAUUCUUUCAUUUUUUAAGUUUUGAAAAAUUUUCAUUUAUGUCGAUUUUUUUUUCGAUUCAAUUUGUCUACACGGAGU
rnacentral:misc_RNA from 1 species